GGCGCCAGGCGCUCCGGCCGCAAGGGAGCAGGGAGCCCUGCCAGCUGGGCCACCCGAGGGGCGUUGCGGGGCUCCGGGCGGGGUCGACCCGGGGGGCUCCGUCGGGCCCCACCAGCCUUGCGCCUUUUUCGCUCGGUCUCCUUGGCCUCCCGCUCCUGCGACGCCGCUUUCCUUUUCUCUUGCUCCCGAGCUCGGACCUCGGCCAGGGGCCCCGCCCGCCAGUUGGUCGCCUCCUGCAGCACCCUGGAGGCCCAGGGCCGGCGGGGCGGCGGCUGUGGGGAUCCCGGGCGCGGCCCACACCUGGGACAAUGAGCAGGAACCCAGGGAAUGUGACUUCACUGGACGCAGUAUAAAGAUCUUCAGAUGUCCUCCUGCCGGGGAUUGCAGGGAUCACAGAAAGACCAUCGAGGUCCAGGAGCUACCUGCAAGCGGAGAUCCCUCUGGACGCCCCGUGCCUCACCCAGCAAAGCCGGCUCACAACCCUGCGCUCUCAAACCUCUAAAAGGGCUUGAGGUGCCAAUAGGAAAGGAGGCCCGAGAUUGCCACGGCAUACGUGGGCCCCAAGGAGGGAGCCAGGAGUCACUGCCUGCUUGGGCUAAGGGUACCGCGUACGGAAAGGCGGCGGGGACGCGGCCCAGUUCCAGGAGAUGCGCCCAACGAAGAAGCGGAGGAACAGGGUCACGGGAUAGGGCAGACACCCGGCUGCUUUUUGUUUGCUAGACACCAGCGCCAGCCCCUGCCCGGCCCUCCCGGUCUCCUAAGGGUUGGGGGGGUGUCUUAGGCUCCACAGCGCCCCCGACCGCCCUCCUGCACUCCUCACCGUCUCCAUUGCAAGAGGCGCCCGGCUUGGUUUCCUCGCUUUAGGAAACUCUCUUGGGGCAGGCCCCGCCCCACAUCCGGUGCGGCGACGCCACUUCCGCCCACGUCAUGGCAGUCGCCAGACUGGGGCGGAAGGCAAGGAACCCACCCUUCCGGCGGUGGCGGGCCUCGGUAACCGCCCUCCCCCGGGUCCUCGCGGACCGCACGGAUCCGGCUGACGGCGAGGGUCAUGGGACGGAGCCGCUUGUAUUUAAAAUGUUCUUUUUUUAUUUGUCGUUUAAAAACAAACUUGGAAGAAGCAAAAUCCAAAACUUGCCCUUUGCCUCUCGCAACAUAAAUAUGUACAGUUCAGAAUGAUCGCUGAUACAAAACAUGCCAAGGACAGGGGCGCUGAGGGUGGAGGGAGAGAGGGCGCUUUAAAAAAGGGAACCAUUUCAUCCGUUGUUACGAAGGACCAACCUUGCUGUACAGGAUACACACAACACAAAAUAAAGUCUUCACGGGAUUCAC
rnacentral:lncRNA from 1 species